rnacentral:rRNA from 1 species
GACGAACGCUGGCGGCGUGCUUAACACAUGCAAGUCGAACGGAAAGGCCCUGCUUUUGUGGGGUGCUCGAGUGGCGAACGGGUGAGUAACACGUGAGUAACCUGCCCUUGACUUUGGGAUAACUUCAGGAAACUGGGGCUAAUACCGGAUAGGAGCCCCUGCUGCAUGGUGGGGGUUGGAAAGUUUCGGCGGUUGGGGAUGGACUCGCGGCUUAUCAGCUUGUUGGUGGGGUAGUGGCUUACCAAGGCUUUGACGGGUAGCCGGCCUGAGAGGGUGACCGGCCACAUUGGGACUGCGAUACGGCCCAGACUCCUACGGGAGACAGCAGUGGGGAAUAUUGCACAAUGAGCGGAAGCCUGAUGCAGCAACGCCGCGUGCGGGAUGACGGCCUUCGGGUUGUAAACCGCUUUCGCCUGUGACGAAGCGUGAGUGACGGUAAUGGGUAAAGAAGCACCGGCUAACUACGUG